UAGUAGGGAAAAAGAGUACGUGAAGAAAGAAGUACGUUCGUAAACUUAAGUAUUCAUAAAAGAGUAAGCGAGAAAUCCUCGGAUGUCCUACUGCUUCAGCCCAGUUUCUGAAGUGUUCAUCCGAUGGACAAUUUUCUAUCCCAGAAGCCCAUGCGAGAGAGGAUACGUCAUCACCGUACAGGGCGGAGAACAGCGACGAGGGUGUUUACAAAUGUGAGCAUUACAAACCAAAACACGGUUCCUUGUGUUAAAAUCGCUUUUGUUGAGCUACUGGAGAGCAAACUGUUGAAUUGCUUAAUGUGUAAACGCUAAACAGUAGAGUUUAUUUGUGACUUUGUGGUAAAAACACAAUUUAUUAUUUAAAUCUUAAAGACGAUUACUAAAUGUCUAUUUAAAAUGUGGCAGGAAAAUGUUCUAAAAAAAUUGCAUAUGAGCACAUCUAAUAGACAUGAAAUAGACAUCUGAGUGAGUGAUGUAUUUGUGUUAUUAUGUAGAAUUCACUGUUGUCAAGACUGCUUUAGAUGAGUGUAAGUAAUGUAAAUAUAAACACAUCUACAUGAAGUUACUAAACGUAAAUUAUCUAUUUUAUUUGUCUAUUAGUCUGUUGAAAAACUGAGGAAUAUUUGUGUUGGAUAAAAAUAGAGUGAAUCUUUUCUGGAUGUUACAGAGACAGAUGAGACACACGUGUGUUUAUCCAGUGAAGAGUGACUGAUGAAGGAAUGCUGCCAUCAAAGGCUCUCAAUCUUCUGUGGUGGAGCAGGACCUGCAAGGAAAGGUGAUAGCAGCAUUUGUAAGAAAAAAGGGAGAAAACCUGAAACAAAAAUAUAAAACUGGUGAGGAUGGAGAAAUCCACAGCAGCAUCCUAGAAAUGGUCCAGUGCCAUGAAUGAGACGCUCCAUCACUCCACCUGCCCUUACUGCCUCAUAUGGACCGGAUGCUGCUGUGUUCUCUUCAUCCUCAGUGACCCCAGAGCCAGCGAGAGCAUCUAGAGAAAGACCAAAAGACAUGGAGGAUGUGAUUUUGGUCAAGUUUGUUCUGCUGGUUUCUGUUCAUAUAACAUCAGUCAAUGAAACCGGAGUUUCAGAAGCUUCAAAGUUUCAAGUUUUACUAUGUUUAAAUGUUUUACAGGUAGUUGUGCUCAUGGAGCAGACACAGCGAUAGCCAGAUUGUCCCGCACAUGUUCUCCCGCUCUUGCUUCAAGGUGGUGUGGCUCAGGGGGCAUCAUCAUGGUCUUCCUUAUCCUCCCUGUGCACUCAGACAAUGAUAGCCUCGAUGUCCCUUUCCCAUCCAUGAUCAGAUUCAGUCUGACUGCAGCAAUGAGAGGACUGUGCUGUGAUGGACAGCAGAGACAGGUGAAUGUGGGCAUGGUGGUCAGCUGCAGAACUGGCACAGCUGUGUUGAGAUGGCAGUAGGAUAUGGGUUCAC